rnacentral:lncRNA from 1 species
UAUUGAAUGCAGGUAUGCAAGAAGGCAUGCAAGAAGCUUCGUGAUUAGAGGAUAGAAAAAAAAAGAUUGUUCUUAAAUUCUUGAUUAGUGAAUUCUUGUGUUAGUAUUUUCCUUUGUAUUUUUUAGUCUUUGUAUGAGUUUUCCUUUCCUUGUCUCUUUCCCAUGUAUUUUUUAUUAUGCAGGUGGCAAUUCUUAAUGUUGAAGGAGCAUUGUGAAAGUCAAUUGAUGGAGAUCCAGAUUUUUCAUUUAAUGUAGUUACUUUUUUCAUUUUAUGUAGUUAAUUGAAAAAAAUCAAAAGAAACAAUGGAUUGUAAUAUUUAAUUGAAAAAAAUAGUAGGUGUUUAGUGUGUCUACUAUAUUUCACUGAAA